rnacentral:rRNA from 1 species
CGCUACGCACAGCUCAGUAGCACGUGGCUAACCUGCCUUGGGACGGAAGAACCCCCGGGAAACUGGGGCUAAUUUCCGAUAGGUGAUGAUACCUGGAAUGGUUUUUUGCUCAAAGGACGCUUAGGGCAUGCUUCUAGGCGUUGCCCAAGGAUGGGGCCGCGGCCGAUCAGGUUGUUGGUGAGGUAACGGCUCACCAAGCCUUUAACCGGUGCGGGCCGUGGGAGCGGAAGCCCGGAGAUGGGCACUGAGACAAGGGCCCAGGCCCUACGGGGCGCAGCAGUCGCGAAAAUUUCGCAAUAAGCGAAAGCUUGACGGAGUUAUCCCGAGUGCCAUCCGCUGAGGAUGGCUUUUCCCUAGUAUAGAUAGCUGGGGGAAUAAGGAGAGGGCAAGUCUGGUGUCAGCCGCCGCGGUAAUACCAGCUCUCCGAGUGGUGGGGAUGAUUAUUGGGCCUAAAGCAUCCGUAGCCGGCUGGGCAAGUCCCCUGUUAAACCCAACGAUUUAAUCGUUGGUCUGCGGGGGAUACUGCUUGGCUAGGGGGCGAGAGAGCCCGUCGGUAUUCCCGGGGUAGGGGUGAAAUCCUAUAAUCCCGGGAGGACCACCAGUGGCGAAGGCUGUCGGCUAGAACGCGCCCGACGGUGAGGGAUGAAAGCUGGGGGAGCGAACCGGAUUAGAUACCCGGGUAGUCCCAGCUGUAAACGAUGCAGGCUAGGUGUUAGGGCGACCACGUGCCGCUCUAGUGCCGCAGGGAAGCUGUUAAGCCUGCCGCCUGGGAGUACGGCUGGAAGGCUGAACUAAAGGCCC